UUGUUUUUAAUGCCUUGACCGAGUUUAACGUAGCUACAUAAUGUAGGGUGAUAUUACUGAUAUUAUUCAAUGGACAGUCUGCAGAGAGGUCACUUUUCGCUCUUGCGAUAAGAUAACGAAUCUCCAAUUAAGAACAUAAGUUUAUUCAAACGAAUUUCAAUCAACUUGCAGUAAUUACGGAUUUGAUUUAAAUAUUUAAUUUCAUUUUCGUUCCAUUCUUUUUUGUCUUUUCUGUUCCCUUUUCAUUUUUACCUAGUUAAAUGAGCACACGUGCGACUUCGUGUAUGAACGGUUAGGUCACGAGCACCGAGGUUAGUUUUGCCUAGCGUCAAGAAACCGAAAUGUUGAAACACUGCCUCCUGCCAUAUCGUGUUGCGAUGUGUCUGCACAAAAGCUUGGAUUACAUCACGUUGCACAUUUGGACCAGCGACCAGUUGCAACGAAAACGAGACCGUAACGCGACGACCACAACGUGAACAAACAUAAUUUACGGGAACACGAGCGUCUAAAAAAAAACGAUCACAUCGGAAUUGUUUCUGAUCUAAUUUUCUAUGAAGUGUCGAUUACCUUUACUGAAAGAAAUAUACAUAUAGCAUAAUAUGAUAUAUACACAUAAUUUUUAUACAAACAAACACAACAUUUUCUUUAUAGAAGAAUAUUCGAAGAAACAGAGUGUGAUACGUCCAGCGAAUCGUUGAACGAUUUUGACCUGGGUCUUAUUAGAGACCUCCACCAUUCCGGCUAUAGGUACUCUAGCAACUGAGAAGUCAGCAAUAUGGUCGUACAGGUCAACGGAGAGACAAAUCCCAAAGGGAAACUCCUUGGAACACAUAAACUAUUGGUGGACCAUUUUAAACAUCAAACUUUCAUGGCUAUUGAGGAUGCAGGCACCAGGUUUCAGCAGCUUCUGUGUUAUGUGAGUACAUAUUUUCUACAUCCAAAAGGACGUAUAUGGGCUCUACAUCUGGCUCUAAAGUAGAAUUGGGCAUUCGGGAUUAUUGAAGUAGUCUUUUUUCUUGUAGAGUCAUUAACAAAAACGAAGGUUUAAAGAAUAACGAAACUUUAAUUUUACUUCAAUAAAUUUUAUUAAACUCUACUCUUACAAAACUACUCUAAAGAUUCUCCCUUUAUAGAUUUUGUAUAGAAGUAAUAAUUACACUUUUCCUAACAAAUAGGUAUAUUAAGACACGUAAAUAAAUAAAUAAAGAUAGAUCAAUUCUCUUUACAUUUUUCUAAUUUCUAGAUGAUUUUCUUUUUAUCUGUCUAAUAUUCUUUCAAUAUUUCGUUUAAGUAAUUUUUUCAUUUAAUGGAAUACUCGAACUAAACGAAUCAAACAAUGAGGUCGAAUAUGUGAAACAACGCAAACGUACGAUAACUAAGGAAAUUCUCAUAAGUAAAAUAUGUAUUCUUUAUCAGUUAGGAAAAUUUUACGCCUAUCUUUUGUUAAAAAUAAACUCGUUUUUUAAUUGUAAGAGCAAGUAACGUGUUUAAUCUAUAUAUACGCUGUUGAAUCACGUUUCUAAUAAUUCAUAACUUGGUCCAUCACGAGUUUGUGGUUAGUAUUUGCUUUUGAUUUUUUUUUUUUAUUUAAUAAUUUCAAUUCACAAUUUGUCCAAUUUGGACAUUUGGUGAAUUUUUUUAGCUGUUUGAUUAUCGUGUGGGUGGCUACCCCGCGGGGUACCAUCUUCAUGUUUGUUAGGUUAUAUCCUUUGUAAAAUUUGUGUUCGAUGUGCAGAAAAUAAACAAGUUAGAAGCAAGAAUGUAGCGAGAAUGAAAAAGUUAAGGACAUGAAGGAAAGCUGUUCUCCAAGAGUAAUCCGAGUCUUCGAAUUUUUUAUUGAAUAUAUACAAAUUCACAGAUCAGUGGUGUCAAAAAAUAUCGUUCUAAUUAUAAGUUCUUCAAACAUUUUUAAAUAUUAAGUUUAGACUCUUUUAAAUUAAAAAUAAUAUGUUUGAGACACUUGGAAAUAUUUCUGAGAAUAAAACAACGCUUAAAUCAGCUUCUCAUUUUAGAUUUUAAACUUUCAGAAUGAUUAAGCUGACACAUUUGUGAUUCUUCGGGUUUCAUUUAGUGUUUCACUAAUAGGGAUUCAACACAAGUAGUAUUAUCAGUACAUUGUACUUUAUUUCGACAUUUUAUUAACACUUUGAAGCAAGUGGUGUUCAACCUACUCAUUACAAAACAACUAGAAUCCAGAAUCGUCACUAAACGUAAUAAGAUUGAGACUUAAAAAAUCACAAAUAUGUCAGCUCCCAAUUUGUUAUGGCUAACAAAUGCUCACAGAAGCAAUGUUCUUUAUCGAAAAAGUAACAAUAAAACCUCUUCCUUAAAAGAAAAGGAAAAGGUGUAUUAUUUACGUUAUGAAUAAUUUAUAUUAAAAACUAAAAUAAAACCACUGCCUCACCAAAGCAAGCAUACUGUUCUAUCUCUAGUUUCGUAGAUACACGAUAAGGUUCCGUCUAAGAAUUAUCAACUGUUAUCUCUCUUCGGUUCUCUCGUUUUUUCGAAGCACACACAUACAUACCUGUAAAUCCUUGUGGCUCAUCGAGUGAUGUUUUUAAACAAGUAUAGUUCAUCGAAGGUUUCGCGCUGAUAGUCCAUCAAUUUCGAAUAAAUAACCUUAACAAAUAAGUAGUAUAAAUAAUAUGUAUCCAUGGGACAUUCUAUUUGAAGUGAACUGCGCAAUUAUCUCCUAAACUAUUUGUUAUAAAAAAAAGUGUUUUAAGUAAAACUUACUUUGAAAAGUAAGAAGAACAUCUUAUGAUAACAAAUUAUACUUAUGAUAUCAAAUUUGUCAAGGUGGAGACGUUUUCGAGAUCUCAAGGUAACCUUUGCUUUUUUAAAUGGAAUUAUGUUUUCAUUUAGCCAGGUUUGUAGCCCAGUCAGAAACAAAUUCUUUAAUCUAAAUAUGAUAGUAUUUCAAAGUCAUUUAAGAUCAUUUACUACCAUUCAACAUUUACCUUCAUUGAACGUCCGCAAGUUGUUCUUUACCUUUCAUAUUCGAAAUGAUGAUCUUAAACGUAAAACAUAGUUGUACUCUCUCCAAUGUUUCAGAAGUAAUUUGUUGGCAGGCAUCUCUUAUACGAUUUUCCAUAUCAUCAGGGUUGUUGGGUUCUUUACGAUACAUCUGAUCUUUUUUAAGAUAAAAUCUAGUAAUAUUAAAUCUGGAAACCUUGAUAGGAAGGAUUCACUGCUUCCUGUUCCUACCCAACGAUCCGGAAAUUGAGAAUGUUUUGUGAAACUUUUUCUCUUUUUAUUUAUUUAAUUUUUACUUUACAAUUUGUCCAGCUGAACAUUUGAUAAAUUUUUCUAACUUGUGAAACUUCUGUUUGUAAACAAAAGUAUUUAUAAUCCAAAUUGUUAGUAUAACUUCGAAUCAUAUUUACAACCGUAUUCCGUAACAACGGAAUAUUGUGAAGAACAAUAUGUGGAUGUUCAACAAAGGUAAGUUUUGAACGACAGUAAAUGAUCUUGAAUGACCUUGAAACACUAGCAUAUUUAGAUAAAUAAAUUCCUUUCGAACAGAACUACAAACCUGACUAAAUGAAAAAGAUAGUUUCAUAUAGAAAACCAAAGGUUACCCUGAGAUCUCGAAAAUGUCUCCACCUAGAUAAAUCUGGCAGUUACUAUAAGAUGUUCCUCUCGAAGCAAAGUAAGUUUUACUUGGGACACUCUUUUCUGCAACAAAUAGUUUAGGAGAUAACUGCGUGGUUUGCUUCAAAUGGCACACCCUCUUUCUCUUUUUUAUAAUUUUAUUAUAAAUAUUUUCUUUUUUGUACAUUACAUAAAAACACAGUAGUAGCAUAUGUAUAUACCUUACAAAAUGAUACUUUCAGCCGACAGUGGAUUAUUAUAUUUAAAUUUUUGAGAAGUUAAAAAUUACAUGUAAGGUUAAUCCCAAAGUAGAAGUCUUAAAUUCCCGCGUUGUUCUGAAGAAUCUGUGGUAUAUCUUUAAAAAAAUUCCAUUACAAACUCAUUACAAGUCAAGUGAUUUAUAGAGUCUUUUAAUUAAUAAACUCGACCGAUAAAUGACGGCGUAUGUAUGAAAAUAUUUACGCAAUAUCUGAUUACCAUUUGCUACUGAUACGUUUGUUUUUAUUACAUCGAAUGGAACACCGUUGAUACGUGCUCACAAUGUUCGGUCUGCUCGUGCUGAAUAUCAGUAUCUCAUUUACGUUCGUUCUUUCUCCUUUCCUCAUUUGAAUUUGAAUUCUUUUCUUAUUCGAACAUCUUGGUAAGCAUUCAGAUAAUGCCGAAUUGCAGAAUGUUUUGUGAGCAGUAUUUUUCCAAUUAUCUACUCUUACUUUGCCCAACGCAGAGCAUUCCUUGCCAUGGAACAGUUUUAGUCUAAGGUUAAAAUGCAGCGGUAGGUUUAUGGUAAUCGGAACUCCUGUAGUUCGUCUCAGGGAGACUUUCAAAAUUCCAUGAACAUAUGUAUAACAUGUGUCACCGUUUUUUUUAUAUAAGUGAAUGUCUGUAUCAGUUCAACGCACCAUACGUCAAAUAGAAAGUCACAAAAGUGUACUUACAAUACAGCAGUUAUAUUUCAAAUAUUUUAUAAGGAUAUACUUCAGUAAAAUUUUAAUUAAAAAAAAUUUUAAUUCUAUGGAAAUAAAAUUUUAAUGGAAAUAAAAUGGAAAUAAAAAGAUUCAUUGAUUUUUUGUAUUAGAUAAUCAAUAUUUGAUUGCUGUUUAAUUUUUAUCGAAUGGUAAUAGGUUUUUACUUCUUACUAAUACAAAAAUAGAAUGUGGGUUUAGCACGAAUUAAGGGAGGAAAUUAUUUUUAGUAAUCGUUCAAGUUCAUGGUCAGUGUUAGCUCACAGAGUUAUACAUUACAUUACAGGUAUAUAUUACACGUAUAAAAAUAUGCUGUAUUCUGUUUAAUAAGAUAAAUAUAAUAAAAUGAAAUAAAUU